GUUCAAGAGCACGUGAAACCCGUUCAGAGAGAAACGGUCGGCCCGCGAGGCGUGCCGCGGCGGGAUUCAGCCGUCGGCUUGUUGGGAGGCUCGGGCGGUCGGAGGUCGGUGGGAGAAAUUCUGCCUAUGCCCUGACCGUCUGAGUCGACCGGCGAGCUGGCGGUGCACUUCUCGUCGUGAGCGGGCCGCGUCCGGAUGGAUUGACCGGCUGGAAAGCGUUGGCGGAAAGGUGACCGGGGUACCUUCGGGUGCCGCGGCGUUAUAGUCCGUUGGUGCGACAUACGGCCAGGUCGCCGUCCGAGGUGACGCCCGGCGAGGUGUGCGGUUCUUUGGCCCUUCGGUUCCUCUCGGCAGCGCGAUUCUUCGCGCGGUUGGGGGUCGUAGCCGUUGGCGCCGGGGGCCGCCCCCACGUCUUGGGAGUUCCGCGGCUUAGCGAGGCGGUUGCCCGACCGACCCGUCUUGAAACACGGACCAAGGAGUCCGCCGGGUGCGCGAGUCGUAGGGUGCACGAAACCCGAAGGCGAAGCGAAAGCAUAGGUCCGAUCCCGUGUCGUGCGGGCGCAGGGCCGUCCUCGCUACGAGGCUUUUGUCCUUUGGCGGGCGAUCUGAGCGCAUCUGGCGGGACCCGAAAGAUGGUGAACUAUGCCUGAGCAGGCCGAAGCCAGGGGAAACUCUGGUGGAGGGCCGCAGCGGUUCUGACGUGCAAAUCGAUCGUCAGACUUGUGUAUAGGGGCGAAAGACUAAUCGAACCAUCUAGUAGCUGGUUCCCUCCGAAGUCCCCCUCAAGG
rnacentral:rRNA from 1 species